CUGGUCUUGACAUCCACGGAAGUUUUCAGAGAUGAGAAUGUGCCUUCGGGAACCGUGAGACAGGUGCUGCAUGGCUGUCGUCAGCUCGUGUUGUGAAAUGUUGGGUUAAGUCCCGCAACGAGCGCAACCCUUAUCUUUUGUUGCCAGCGGUCCGGCCGGGAACUCAAAGGAGACUGCCAGUGAUAAACUGGAGGAAGGUGGGGAUGACGUCAAGUCAUCAUGGCCCUUACGACCAGGGCUACACACGUGCUACAAUGGCGCAUACAAAGAGAAGCGACCUCGCGAGAGCAAGCGGACCUCAUAAAGUGCGUCGUAGUCCGGAUUGGAGUCUGCAACUCGACUCCAUGAAGUCGGAAUCGCUAGUAAUCGUGGAUCAGAAUGCCACGGUGAAUACGUUCCC
rnacentral:rRNA from 1 species